UCCAAUCUUAUAGUCGGAAAGGCAUUUGCUGUUGCCACUGCAAUUGUAUUUGGUGGAGCUGCAUUGGUACUCGGUAUGGUGACAUCCAAGUUAGAGCUGCAUAAUGUCGGUGACAUCAAAACUAAGGGAAAAGACUAUGUUGAGCCACAACUUGAGAAUAUUAAAGAGCAAUUUAUUCCCUUCAAAAUAUGGGCUGAGAAUAUGUCAAGAAAGUGGCAUAUGGAAAAGAAAGAUGUUGAGCAGAACACUCUUGUAAAGGAGCUAUCUAAAAUGUGGGGUGCAAAAACAACAGAUUGAGAUUUACAAAUUUAUUUGUUUUCCUUUUACUUCAGUUGCUUUGGAAAUUAUGUCAUGGGCAACAAAACAUAGAUAAAUUGGAUGUAGUAUGCCUCUGGCUGUUGUGACUGUAAAUGUUGAAGCAUGCCAGAGGGUAAGAAUAAGGAAAAUGAUAUUUGUAUAACAAAAUAAUAUAAUGAUUUACAACUUGUUUUA